UACGUAGGGUGCAAGCGUUAAUCGGAAUUACUGGGCGUAAAGCGUGCGCAGGCGGUUUUGUAAGUCUGUCGUGAAAGCCCCGGGCUCAACCUGGGAAUUGCGAUGGAGACUGCAAGGCUUGAAUCUGGCAGAGGGGGGUAGAAUUCCACGUGUAGCAGUGAAAUGCGUAGAGAUGUGGAGGAACACCGAUGGCGAAGGCAGCCCCCUGGGUCAAGAUUGACGCUCGUGCACGAAAGCGUGGGGAGCAAACAGG
rnacentral:rRNA from 1 species